ensembl:lncRNA
UUCUCUUCCCUCCCCUCCCCUCCCCUCCCUUUCCGCUUCCCUCCCUUCCCUUUCCGCUUCCCUCUUCUUCUUUCUGAUAUCCCCGGAAGUCUGUAAAUCUCAUAAGUCAUAGUCUUGGUCUCAGAGUCUACUUUGGGGUACCAAAUUUAAGGCAUUUCUUCCACUAUAGAAAGUAAGAAAUUUUAGGCUGGGUGCAGUGGCUCACGCCUUUAAUUCCAGCACUUUGGGAGACUGAGGCGGUUGGAUCACGAGGUCAGGAGAUGGAGACCAUCCUGGCUAACAUGGGGGAAAUCCCGGCUCUACUAAAAAUACAAAAAAUUAGCCGGAAGUGGUGGUGCACACCUGUACUCCCAGCUACUCGGAAGGCUGAGGCAGGAGAAAUGCUUGAACCCAGGAGGCAGAGGUUGCAAUGAGCCAAGAUCGUGCCACUGCACUCCAGCCUGGCGACAGAGGGAGACUCUGCCUCAAAAAAAAAAAAAAAAAAAGAAAAAAAGAAAGAAAGAAAAAAGAAAAAGAAAGAAGAAAUUUUAUUCUCCUAAAUAGUUGUGAGCAGCUCUGGGAGAGGAACAAAGCAUAUGCAGAAGAUUUCAAAAAACGGACAAUGAUAAAUGAACAGCCAUCAAAGCCCUGUAGUACGAUGACUGUGACCUUAAUUUUGCAGUUAACACUCUAUAUUGCUUGUCUGAAAUGUGCACUCCAUCCUUUUCUCUUGGCUUUUCACUGCCUGCUGAUGUUUUGUUUUCUUUGUUUUCAUGUUCUUUCUCAUUAAGAUCAAUUCCUCUCUAUGAAACACCCCACUGUAGAACACUAAGACAGGCCUCAUAGACCAAAGAGCAUCUAAACCCUACACAACUGUGCAGUCUUCCCACUCUGAAAUAUAUACAUACACAAGCAUAACAUUAAUAUAUAUAUAUCAUAUAUAGACAUCCACAUAAUUUACUAGUAUGUACAUAUAUUUUUUGUGUAUCUAUAUUAUCUAUCCAUCUACCUAUCUACCAUCUAUCUCCUCAGAAAAGAAAUUCCAAGAUUAAUACAUUAUCACUUACCUCUGAACGAAAGAUCAUUUUUCUUUUGGUGAUGGAGGGGCAUUGAAAAUCCAAAACCAACUUUUAAAAGCCUCUUGACCUAUCCUUUAAAUGCCCUUCUAAAGAAGCACUCCCAUGCCUGUAAUCUCAGCACUUCGGAGGCUGAGGCAGGCGGAUCAUGAGGUCAAGAGAUUGAGACCACCCUGGCCAACAUGGUGAAACCCCAUCUCUACUAAAAAUACCUCUGGUUGCUCUGUGAGUUGUCAUGGAGAAGCAACUCUUACAGGUGUGAAGGGGCAGUUGCCAUCCAGUUUUCACAAGCAUGUGCAGGUGUCUGCCCAGAUAGUGUCACGAUGCUAAGAAGACAACAAUGCUCUUGUCAAACAUGUCAGGAAGAAAAUUAUGGUGGUCAAAAGCCACUCAUCAGCCACUGAACACAGAUUUCCACUGCUUCGCCGGCCUUCCCACUGCAAAUCACUAUUCCAAACAUAAAUACACAACUUUCAAAAAGGAAAAAAAGGGAACCAGCCUCAGGGUCCCCUGGUUUUCACCUAUAGUACUUGCAUUUUUCUGAUCUUUCUGGGAGUGGACUGGCAUGGGUAUUUGCUGCCACUAAACCUCGUGACAGCUAAUACUCAUGACACAGCAGCUGGUCCCUGAGCUCCAAAUAUAUAUUGGGAACAAAUGAGGAGAUUAAGCAGGCACAACAAUGCUUUCUGGUGAGGACACUGGUACUUACAGAUUUGUUAGAACCUACUUUUCUUUAGUAAGAAAUUACUAGCCUGUGCUGUGACUCAUUGGUGGGCUAGAUGUUAAGUGGCUUCAGGUAGAAUCUGGUCUUUCCUAGGACUUCCAGCAAAUCUUCUGUACUUCAUGGUGAUAAUAAUAGUGAACAUUCAGCAAUUAC